CUCACAUUGGUAAGAAUUUUUCGAAACAUUUCAAACAUUACACCAUCCUAGCAUUCCUUCGCAUAAAACUUACGACAGAAACGAUAGUAUAAGAUUCGAUGUAGUACAAACUAUCUUUAUUGGCAAAAGAUUAGGUUUUCACUAUUAAAUCAGAAAAGAUAAGAUAGUACAGAGAUGCAUACUGCCACACAAGAGCAUUGAUCAGGUAUCAAUUUAUCUUUAACUGCUAUACAAAUCAGAUUUAAUCGACUCAUAUCUUCGAAGCUUACGCUCUUCAGAUAUGGGAAGUUUACAUU
rnacentral:lncRNA from 1 species